rnacentral:lncRNA from 1 species
AUGUUUACGGUGGAUGUAACACUAUGGCUCGCGGAGAUUUUUUCGCUCAACCGAACCAGUUUGACCCAGAAUCGGACCCAGAAGGAGAGGCUUCUGAAGAAGUACAGACUCUGCGGCUGCAGCAGGACGUUUCAGAAUGGAAGAGGAGAAGCAGCUCUGGUUUAUCUCCGGCUGAGAGGACCGUGGAGAGCCGUCGAUCAAGUCAGAACUGCAGACCCUGUUGACGGACGAUGUGGUGGACAGAGGAGACUGGAUCCCCAAACACCCUGAGUACCGACCCAGAUGAUGUCCCACUGACACCAUCCAGCCCAGCAGCACUGCAGGGACUCCUGCUCAGCCUGUUACUGUCCAUCAUCUAUAACUGUUUUAAUAUUGUUUUUAAUCAUAAUUGUUUUUGCUAAUGGUGAAUAACAAUCUGUAAAUAGUUAUUUAUGCUGUAAUUUUGUAAAUAGUUGUACAUGUUAAGACCUUAAUAAUAAUAAAAUAAAACAUUCAAUCCCUUGUUGUCCC